AGCUGGUGUGAUGAUUUGCCCUUUACUGAUGGCCUUCUCCUCAUCUUACUUUCCCAUCCUGUCCUUGAAUCAUCCAUUUCAGGAUCUGCCUCUGAAAGAACCCAAACUAAGGCAGUCAAUCCACCACAGACAGACAAGGAAAUAGAAGCAGAGCGUUUUAUUUAGAGAUUAUGGAGGAAAAUACGAAAAGAAGCAACUAACAGAACUGCAGGUCAUUACCUCUAGGGACCAAGACUAGAGGUGGGAAGGGGCGGAAGAGGAGACCAUGCUUUUAAAUAUAUGCAUGGCAUGUGCUACUUUAAUAUAAUUAAAAACAAUCACUUAAAGCAAAUUGGAACAGUGUAACAAAUGAAAUCAAAUGAAAUCAAAAGGAGAGAGCACAAAUAUAUCUGAGUAACUUGGUCUGUCCCCCAGCCCCCUUAAUGUUGUUACCUGAAUAUGUCAAUUGUUGUCAAAAGACAAGCAUAAACUGAAAUCGAUUAUUGUAUGGAUCUGAACCGAUGGAAAAUAUUCUCUGUACAGCAAUUUUAAAAGUAUAAUGGUAAUCACUGUGUUAGGGAUUAAGUAUACUUCCCACCCUGUGUUUUUGCCAUUGUAUAGGAAAAAUCAUGCAGAAUACAUUGAUAAUCACUGUAGAAAUGAGAUGAGAUUUAUUAACUAAAACACUUAGCACUUCACCUGGCACUACUUUAUGAAGAAGCACUUUGUAUAGGGCACUAUGUGUAGUUUAUAUAUAUAAAGAAACAUUUGUGUAUUGGGUUUGAAUGUUACUUGUUGUUGUUGAAUAUUCUUCUGCUAGUCCACCCUGUCCCUGAUGGAAGCUAUGCCCCCGGAUCAGAAACGCUUGAUGCUCAAGCGGUCCUGGGAAACCACUAUUGCAAGUAACUGUCAGUGCCCUCUACUUUCCACUAGAUGGCAGACUUCCCCCAGCUCUGUGGACGGCAGAUACCCAGGAGAGGAGGACAGAGCUUCAGAUCUUUGCUUUCUCCCUUUCCCUUGACCUGGAAAAUCACUGGGCUGCCUCUGAGGCCAGAUUUAGAUUUCCUGCACAAGCCAUCAUUACCUUGUUUAGAGGAGUGAAAUUAGGGUCGACCUGUCCUGUCAUUCCAGGACAGAAGGUGACAAAUAAGGUCCUUUAUGUGUAGCACUGAGGAGAAGGGCUUGUUCUUAAUUUUUAAGAUAUUUUCCAAAAAUAGAAAAAUUCUGUUUUACAAGUCAAAUAAGAAAUGAUUGAAAAACAAGUAUCACUGUUCAUAUACAGAGUCGUAGGUAAAUGUUCAGAUACAAAAAUUGUGACCAUAGAGCAUAUUUUUGGAUAUUUGUUUUCAUAGUGUGAUGAAUAUUUUUGUUUGCUUAAAAUUAUUUCAGAAGUAUAAUCAUAAUUCAAGCUUGAAAUACAAGAGUGGUAAAAUGAGAGCAAAAAUAAACAAGUAAUAAAACGCACCACAAAAUUUCU
rnacentral:lncRNA from 1 species